GAUCAUGGAAUAACCGUACAUUAACUUGUCAGAUAAUUGAAUCGUUUCUUAUCCUGGAAUUGAAUAUAUAUAUAACCCUAAUGCCCAAAUCACAGUUUCUUCUCAUCUCGUCCCACCUUCAAUUUGUCCUCUCAAAUCCCCCUUACGUUCUCACUCCACCCUCUGCCGGCGACAGUGGUUCCAGGGGCUGUGGUAGCUGUGGUAUUGGUGGUCGUCAAAGGCCAACGGCUAGGAUUUGCCAUGAAACACUGUAGUUAUCGAAUUACACUCUCUAUUUGCUGAAGAUUUUUAUCGAUUCUGUGUAUUGUAGCAAGGAUGUUGGUUACUUAUUUUCAUCUUUUUAGAUUUCAACAAGUUCUAGGUCUUGAAACUGAAAUUAGAUUGUUGAAAUCGCUAGAUCUUGAGUCACUGGUAUUCUGAUAGGUGGAACCGUGAUUAUAGAGACGAUGGGCCGCCUGGAGUUGACCGGGUCAUCGGUUCCUUGCCGUCUAGCUUCUCGCCUAGGUACCCUGGUUAUGACUCUAAAGGGUUGAGUUAUCGAAGACGAAGCACGUUGAUACGUGAUGAUGAUCAGUGGCCCCCUUACGCAUCUGACUCUUCGUCUCACCGAAGGGAGCCAUGAAGACCGCCACCAUUGUAGUUGGCGGUAAGCUUAAUCGCCAUGGGGGCUGUUUUCUAUUUAGGGCCAGAAAAAGCAUCAAGUGUACAUGGGAACUCGAGUGCAUGGCUUCGGGUCAAGAAAUUGAUGAUUCUUCAAAUAAUAACAGCUCGCCCAAAAAAGUAUACAAGGAUCCAGACGAUGGGUGUCAAAGAUUUUUGCUUGAACAUGAAUUUGUCCAGUACCUUGCUAAUCCAACCUAUAUUCACUGUAUCCACAUUGUCCCUACUUUCUGGAACUUCUUCAAAAUGCAAGUAUUUGAUUAUUGAUUAAGUAUUAACUAACGAAAGUAUUUGAUUGGCGUUUCUAUUUUUUAAAGUAUGAUGUUUAUGGUAAUGUCUUCUUCGCUGCUGAUGAGUUGUUCCUGGUGACAGAACUGUUGGGUCCCUGGGUAAGUUCGUACCCCGUGAAACUCAGUUGGCUCAAGAUCUACACACAUCGCUCCCGUAAUGUAUUUUACGAACCAGUCUCGCUGAAAAACUUGUUAAAGGCAUCAUCUCUAGCCUAACCAAUGUGUACAACAAUGUACUCUCAUCUCUGCAAAAGUUUGCUGGUCAAAAUAGUUCAAAAAAAGAGUAAGUUUGUAACUUAUUGUUGUUCAAUAAGCUGGUUCAAAUUAAGCACUUGAAUUAUUUAACUAAAUGAAAAAAUAAAAUAAAAUUGAAAUAUGAUUCUGUAAAAAAUCUGCAAUGAAUGUCAUGCAUGUUGUUGGUGUUCCACUCGGUGGAAGUAACAGACUUUAUAAAACAAUCUCUCUAUAAAAGCCAAGGUAAACUUUAAAGAAGAAGUAACAAGCUUUUUACUUGCAUUUUUGGUCCUUUUGGUUUGAUUGAAUUUUUGGCCUCUUGGCUACAUUAAGUUGCACUUUGGGUUGUUUUAUAGUAGCAAUUUGGUUUUUUUUUUUUUUUUGCUUUAGACCACUUUUCAAACCUGGCCGAGUUGGCUCGGAAUUUAUUGUGCCCAGUUUGAGCUCAGUAUUUUAGCUUGAUUUUGUAUUCAAGACUUAGUUGACAAUUAGGCGAAGCAUAAUGCUUUAUCAUAAUUCUGGAGUUUUAUUCUGCAUCUUUUUAGUAUUAUUGUUACAUGUUCUUUUAAAUGGAAUAAAAAAAUCAAAGUUACCCACUCAUCUUUUAGUUGUUAACGUGUUUAUUUUAAGUCUACCUUGGUAAAUGGUGUUUGGUAACCAGUGAAGACAAUGGUGGUGUUUUCUAGCAGUUAAGCAGCGGCAUCAACAUCUCUGUAAGGCUUUGUGUCAAGAGGAGAAGUGUCUCACUGCAAGGGCCGAAGCAUGAUGGCUAUUAAGCGUAUUGAUCCGAAGUAUGGACAAGGAAUCCCUAAGUUCUUGAAAAAGAUCAGGACUCUUUCCUGUUACAGGCAUGAAAAUAUUGUUUCUCUUCUGGGAUUUGUUACCAAGGGGAUGAGAUGAUCCUUGUGUACGAGCAUGUCUCGUGGAAGCCUUGACCGCUAUUUGGACUCCUCUCAUCUCACGUGGUCCCAACGUCUGAAGAUAUGUUUGGAUGCCGCAAAGGGGCUAAGAUCUUCAGCUUGAUGUCAAAGGUUGCCGAGAUGUGUAUGCCUCAUUUGACAAGUAUGUUGAAGUAGAAAGGCUUGAAGGUGACAACAAAUAUCAUGCUGAACAACAUGGGUUACACAGGAUGCAAAGAAGGGCGUCCUGUUCAUCGAUUUCCCACCUGCUCUAAAGAUAGUUGUAUUAGGCUCAAGUAAUAUAAUUUGUAGAUCAGUGAGAUAACGAAAAAAACUAACAAACAUGCGUCAAAUGAGUUAAACUAUAAUUAAGUUAUGUGUUUUUUA